UACGUAGGGUGCAAGCGUUGUCCGGAAUCAUUGGGCGUAAAGAGCGCGUAGGCGGUCUGAUAAGUCGGUUGUGAAAGUCGGGGGCUCAACCCUCGGAUGCCGAUCGAUACUGUCAGGCUAGAGUCCGGGAAGAGGCGAGUGGAAUUCCUGGUGUAGCGGUGAAAUGCGCAGAUAUCAGGAGGAACACCAAUGGCGAAGGCAGCUCGCUGGGACGGUACUGACGCUGAGGCGCGAAAGCGUGGGGAGCAAACAGG
rnacentral:rRNA from 1 species